rnacentral:rRNA from 1 species
UACGUAGGGGGCUAGCGUUGUCCGGAAUCAUUGGGCGUAAAGCGCGUGUAGGCGGCCCGAUAAGUCCGCUGUGAAAGUCGGGGGCUCAACCCUCGGAUGCCGGUGGAUACUGUCGGGCUCGAGUACGGAAGAGGCGAGUGGAAUUCCUGGUGUAGCGGUGAAAUGCGCAGAUAUUGGGAGGAACACCAAUAGCGAAGGCAGCUCGCUGGGACGGUACUGACGCUGAGGUGCGAAAGCGUGGGGAGCGAACAGG